rnacentral:rRNA from 1 species
GAUGAACGCUAGCGACAGGCUUAACACAUGCAAGUCGAGGGGCAGCACAGGUAGCAAUACCGGGUGGCGACCGGCGCACGGGUGAGUAACGCGUAUGCAACUUACCUAUCAGAGGGGGAUAACCCGGCGAAAGUCGGACUGAUACCGCAUGAAGCAGGGGCCCCGCAUGGGGAUAUUUGCUAAAGAUUCAUCGCUGAUAGAUAGGCAUGCGUUCCAUUAGGCAGUUGGCGGGGUAACGGCCCACCAAACCGACGAUGGAUAGGGGUUCUGAGAGGAAGGUCCCCCACAUUGGUGCUGAGACACGGACCAAACUCCUACGGGAGGCAGCAGUGAGGAAUAUUGGUCAAUGGCCGAGAGGCUGAACCAGCCAAGUCGCGUGAGGGAUGAAGGUUCUAUGGAUCGUAAACCUCUUUUAUAAGGGAAUAAAGUGCGGGACGUGUCCCGUUUUGUAUGUACCUUAUGAAUAAGGAUCGGCUAACUCCGUGCCAGCAGCCGCGGUAAUACGGAGGAUCCGAGCGUUAUCCGGAUUUAUUGGGUUUAAAGGGUGCGUAGGCGGCCUUUUAAGUCAGCGGUGAAAGUCUGUGGCUCAACCAUAGAAUUGCCGUUGAAACUGGGGGGCUUGAGUAUGUUUGAGGCAGGCGGAAUGCGUGGUGUAGCGGUGAAAUGCAUAGAUAUCACGCAGAACCCCGAUUGCGAAGGCAGCCUGCCAAGCCAUGACUGACGCUGAUGCACGAAAGCGUGGGGAUCAAACAGGAUUAGAUACCCUGGUAGUCCACGCAGUAAACGAUGAUCACUAGCUGUUUGCGAUACACUGUAAGCGGCACAGCGAAAGCGUUAAGUGAUCCACCUGGGGAGUACGCCGGCAACGGUGAAACUCAAAGGAAUUGACGGGGGCCCGCACAAGCGGAGGAACAUGUGGUUUAAUUCGAUGAUACGCGAGGAACCUUACCCGGGUUUGAACGCAUUCGGACCGAGGUGGAAACACCUUUUCUAGCAAUAGCCGUUUGCGAGGUGCUGCAUGGUUGUCGUCAGCUCGUGCCGUGAGGUGUCGGCUUAAGUGCCAUAACGAGCGCAACCCUUGCCACUAGUUACUAACAGGUAAAGCUGAGGACUCUGGUGGGACUGCCAGCGUAAGCUGCGAGGAAGGCGGGGAUGACGUCAAAUCAGCACGGCCCUUACAUCCGGGGCGACACACGUGUUACAAUGGCGUGGACAAAGGGAGGCCACCUGGUGACAGGGAGCGAAUCCCCAAACCACGUCUCAGUUCGGAUCGGAGUCUGCAACCCGACUCCGUGAAGCUGGAUUCGCUAGUAAUCGCGCAUCAGCCAUGGCGCGGUGAAUACGUUCCCGGGCCU